UACGGGGGGGGCAAGCGUUGUUCGGAAUUACUGGGCGUAAAGGGCUCGUAGGCGGCCAACUCAGUCGGACGUGAAAUCCCUCGGCUUAACCGGGGAACGGCGUCCGAUACUGGAUGGCUUGAAUCCGGGAGAGGGAUGUGGAAUUCCAGGUGUAGCGGUGAAAUGCGUAGAUAUCUGGAGGAACACCGGUGGCGAAGGCGACAUCCUGGACCGGUAUUGACGCUGAGGCGCGAAAGCCAGGGGAGCAAACGGG
rnacentral:rRNA from 1 species